rnacentral:rRNA from 1 species
GACGAACGCUGGCGGCGUGCUUAACACAUGCAAGUCGAACGGAAAGGCCUCUUUCGGGGGGUACUCGAGUGGCGAACGGGUGAGUAACACGUGAGUAACCUGCCCUUGACUUUGGGAUAACUUCAGGAAACUGGGGCUAAUACCGGAUAGGAGCUCCUGCUGCAUGGUGGGGGUUGGAAAGUUUCGGCGGUUGGGGAUGGACUCGCGGCUUAUCAGCUUGUUGGUGGGGUAGUGGCUUACCAAGGCUUUGACGGGUAGCCGGCCUGAGAGGGUGACCGGCCACCUUGGGACUUGGAUCUGGCCCAGACUCCUGCGGGAGGCAGCAGUGGGGAGUAUUGCACAAUGGGUGGAAGCCUGAUGCAGCAACGCCGUGUGCGGGAUGACGGCCGUCGGGUUGUAGACCGCUUUCGCUCAUGACGAAGCUUUGUGUGACGGUAGUGGGUAAAGAAGCACCGGCUAACUACGUG